UGGGAGUAACUCCUUCUAAGCUAAAUAUAACCAUGAGACCGAUAGAAGACAAGUACCGUGAGGGAAAGUUGAAAAGCACUCUGAAUAGAGAGUCAAAUAGUACGUGAAACCAUCUAGGAUAUUACAAACCUAUGGAACCUGGCAGAACCGGGGCAGAGAUAUUCAACUGCGUGUGGGUUGCUUACGCUUCCGCCGCAGGGCACUUAUCUGCUGCAGCGUACCGGCAUCGCGAUCCAUUACAAGGGGUUAAAGGUGGCGCGCAAGCGCUGCCUUGUAUCUGGCACCAAAGGUCCCAGGCUCGCACUGGCGUCCCUCUAGUAGCGCUCACUAAGUCAAGCACCCGGUGGCGCAAACGGGGGGUCGAGGCUUCGGUCUCGUGUUCGGUCGAGCUACGGUGUACCGCCGGAUAUGUGAUGGGCUCAAAACGAACGGGGGUAGAUGGAAGCCGCAAGGCUUCUUGUCUCCCGAUCGGCGAUGUGAAAGAUUGCUGGUGAACCCAUGGGACCCGUCUUGAAACACGGACAAGAAAUUCACA
rnacentral:rRNA from 1 species